GAGUUUGGAGGGUGCCGGUCAGCGGAGCCGUGCGAUGUAUUUGAAAAGCAAUCAGUCCGACCUUCCCCCAUAGAUUCAUCACUAGUGGAGAGCUGGGCUUCGAGGCGUCAGUGUGAAGGGAAGGCUAAGGACGCAUCGGUGCUGGAGAGUUGAGAAUAUGCCUUCCCCUCCACCCCCAACCCAGUCACCUUAUUUGAAAAAAAAUUAAAAAACACCUUUUAUUUAAAAACCUAACCCUGGAAGUUUGCUCGGGAAGGCAUUCUCUUCCUCUUCCUCCAGCUGCCUGAAAAUCAUAUGCGUGGUUUUUCCUGUUUCCUGCUCUGUAGCUGACAUCAGGGGAGCAACGUGAACACAGGAAAAUGGAAAUCAACAUUUGAAACUUUUAAAUGGAAGCUUUAUUGGGGUUCCACAUAUGGAAAACUGCAAAUAGCAGAAGUAUGUGACUCAAUAAAUUAUUCUGGAGUGACCACAUCCUCUAACUGCCUCCCAGGACAAGACGGAGAAUGUGAACAAUGCUCCUGAAGGCCCCUUUCCCUCAAAGAAUCACUGCAAUUGAAGGAAAAAUGCUCCAUGUCCCCUCUGCCAGUUGGUGUUUAUCAAAGGACAACGGAGGAAGAGAGACAAAGUGCCUGGAUGUGUGUGUUAAUCAAGAGUUGUCAGGACCCUGCCUCUAAAAGAAAGCGCUAAAAUGAUGCUUUUGACAAGACUUUUCUCAAAGUGGAUGCAGUCUAAGGGUUGGAAAACAAGGCCCAAUCAGGCUAGGUCUGACUUGUCGCCUGCUUUUGUAAAUAAAGUUUUAUUGGCUCACAGACACACU
rnacentral:lncRNA from 1 species